AUUGAACGCUGGCGGCAGGCCUAACACAUGCAAGUCGAACGAGUGGCGGACGGGUGAGUAAUGUCUGGGAAACUGCCCGAUGGAGGGGGAUAACUACUGGAAACGGUAGCUAAUACCGCAUACCAUCGGAUGUGCCCAGAGGGGAUUAGCUAGUAGGUGGGGUAACGGCUCACCUAGGCGACGAUCCCUAGCUGGUCUGAGAGGAUGACCAGCCAAACUGGUAAUGAGACACGGUAAAGAAGCCGACGGGAGGCAGCAGUGGGGAAUAGUGGGCAAUGGACGCAAGUCUGAUACAGCAAUGCCGCGUGAGUGAAGAAGGCCUUAGGGGUGUAAAAUACUGUCGGCGAAGAGGCGUUACUCAAAGAGAAAGCACCGGCUAACUCCGUGCCAGCAGCCGCGGUAAUUC
rnacentral:rRNA from 1 species